rnacentral:rRNA from 1 species
AGAGUUUGAUCCUGCUCAGAACGAACGCUGGCGGCAUGGAUUAGGCAUGCAAGUCGAACGAUGAAAGAAGAGCUUGCUCUUCUGAAUUAGUGGCGAAAGGGUGAGUAACGCGUGAGUAAGCUGCCCUCAAGUUGGGAAUAAUUCUCCGAAAGGAGGACUAAUACCGGAUGUGGUUAUAGUAUUGCAUAAUAUUAUAGCUAAAGAUUUAUCGCUUGAGGAUGUGCUCGCGUCCCAUUAUGUUUGUUGGUAAGGUAACGGCUUACCAAGACUAUGACGGGUAGGUGGUCUGAGAGGAUGGUCACCCACACUGGGACUGAGACACUGCCCAGACUCCUACGGGAGGCUGCAGUCGAGAAUCUUCCGCAAUGGGCGCAAGCCUGACGGAGCAAUGCCGCGUGUAGGAUGAAGGCCUUUGGGUCGUAAACUACUGUCACAGGGGAUGAAUAAAUGACAGUACCCUGAGAGGAAGCCACGGCUAACUACGUGCCAGCAGCCGCGGUAAUACGUAGGUGGCGAGCGUUGUUCGGAUUUAUUGGGCGUAAAGGGUUCGUAGGGGGUAUUCUAAGUUUGAUGUGAAAUCCCGAGGCUUAACCUCGGAACUGCAUUGAAAACUGGAAAACUAGAGUGUCGGAGAGGAAAGCGGAAUUCCUGGAGUAGCGGUGGAAUGCGUAGAUAUCAGGAAGAACAUCGAUAGCGAAGGCAGCUUUCUGGACGACAACUGACCCUGAGGGACGAAAGCGUGGGUAGCGAACAGGAUUAGAUACCCUGGUAGUCCACGCCGUAAACGUUGUGUACUUGGUCUGGGGGGAUUCAACCCCUUCCGGAUCGUAGCUAACGUGUUAAGUACACCGCCUGGGGACUACGGCCGCAAGGCUAAAACUCAAAGGAAUUGACGGGGGCCCGCACAAGCGGUGGAGCAUGUGGCUUAAUUCGAGGCAACGCGAAGAACCUUACCCGGAUUUGACAUAUUUAUGACCGCCAUGGAAACAUGGUUUCCCUUCGGGGCAUAUAUACAGGUGCUGCAUGGCUGUCGUCAGCUCGUGUCGUGAGAUGUUCGGUUAAGUCCGGCAACGAGCGCAACCCGUAUCGUUAGUUGCUACCAGGUAAUGCUGGGCACUCUAGCGAGACUGCCCGUGUUAAGCGGGAGGAAGGCGCGGACGACGUCAAGUCAGUAUGGCCCUUAUAUCCGGGGCUGCACACGUGCUACAAUGGUCGGUACAAUGGGUCGCGAAACCGCGAGGUUGAGCUAAUCCCCAAAGCCGGCCCCAGUUCGGAUUGGAGUCUGCAACUCGACUCCAUGAAGUCGGAAUCGCUAGUAAAGGCGUAUCAGCAAUGGCGCCUUGAAUACGUUCCCGGGCCUUGUACACACCGCCCGUCACAUCACGGAAGCUGACUGCACCCGAAGUCGUUGACCAGACCCGUCAAGGGAUGGAGGCGCCGAAGGUGUGGUGGGUAACUGGGAUGAAGUCGUAACAAGGUA